rnacentral:rRNA from 1 species
UGGCCCUGAGACGGUGCUCCCCUAUGGGGGGAGGUGCGGAUGGGAGCGGUGGGCUUGUUCCAUCCUUCCUUCCGCACCGUCCUCCCAACAAACAAAACCCCGGCGUGAAACACGCCAAGGAAUCGGAAAUGAUUAGAGAAGGAAGUGGACGCCCUUGUGGUUUCGGGAACGGAAUUCACAGGGGUGGCUGGCUUGCCUAUUUCAAAACUAAACGACUCUCGGCAACGGAUAUCUUGGCUCUCGCAUCGAUGAAGAACGUAGCGAAAUGCGAUACUUGGUGUGAAUUGCAGAAUCCCGUGAACCAUCGAGUUUUUGAACGCAAGUUGCGCCCGAAGCCUUCGGGCCGAGGGCACGUCUGCCUGGGUGUCAUGUACCAUUGCCCCAUCCAAAUCCUUCUUUGGGAGGUAGGAGUAGGGGCGGAAAAUGGUCUCCCGUGCGCUCCCGCUCGCGGUUGGCCAAAAUAUGAGUCGUUGGUGACAGUGCCACGGCAAGCGGUGGUUGACAAAACCUUCGGAAAAUGCCACGGCCAAGCCAACAGAAGGCUUUGAGACCCUGUUCACUCCCAACAGCGANACCCAGGCAGGCGGAUACCCGCU